AUUCUACUCCCUCCGUUGCACAAUACUACAUGCCUUCUAUUUGUCAAAAUAUAUAUGUAUCUAGACAUGUCUUAGUAUAUAGGUACAUCCAUUUUUGGACAAAUGGAAGUCAAGUAUUUUGGAAUGGAGGGAGUACAUA
rnacentral:pre_miRNA from 1 species